rnacentral:rRNA from 1 species
CACGUAGGAGGCGAGCGUUGUCCGGAAUCAUUGGGCGUAAAGAGCGCGCAGGCGGCCCGGCAAGUCGGGUGUGAAAUCCCGGGGCUCAACCCCCGGGACUGCAUUCGAUACUGCCGGGCUAGAGGUAGGUAGGGGGAGAUCGGAAUUCCUGGUGUAGCGGUGAAAUGCGCAGAUAUCAGGAGGAACACCGGUGGCGAAGGCGGAUCUCUGGGCCUUACCUGACGCUCAGGCGCGAAAGCUAGGGGAGCGAACAGG